UACGUAGGGGCCUAGCGUUGUCCGGAUUUAUUGGGCGUAAAGAGCUCGUAGGCGGCUUGGUAAGUCAGGUGUGAAAUCUCCACGCUCAACGUGGAGGGGCCACCCGAAACUGCCAUGGCUUGAGUCCGGUAGGGGAGUGUGGAAUUCCCGGUGUAGCGGUGAAAUGCGCAGAUAUCAGGAAGAACACCCGUGGCGAAGGCGGCUCUCUGGGACGGUACUGACGCUGAGACGCGAAAGCGUGGGGAGCGAACAGG
rnacentral:rRNA from 1 species